rnacentral:rRNA from 1 species
CCCUUAGAUGCUCUGGGCCGCACGCGCGCUACACUGGUCGAUGCAACGAGUUUCUUUCCUUGGCCGACAGGCCUGGGCAAUCUUUGAACAUCGAUCGUGAUCGGGAUAGAUUCUUGUAAUUUUUGAUCUUAAACGAGGAAUUCCUAAUAAACGCAAGUCAUCAGCUUGCAUUGAUUACGUCCCUGCCCUUUGUACACACCGCCCGUCGCACCUACCGAUUGAAUGGUCCGGUGAAAUCUCCGGACUGGCGUGAGUCGGAGCAAUCUGACAAACGCCGGAAAGUUGAUUAAACCUUACCAUUUAGAGGAAGGUGAAGUCGUAACA